rnacentral:rRNA from 1 species
UGGGGAAUUUUGCACAAUGGGGGAAACCCUGAUGCAGCGACGCCGCGUGAUUUAGAAGGCCUUCGGGUUGUAAAAAUCUUUUUUACGGGAUGAAAAUGACAGUACCGUAAGAAUAAGGUCCGGCUAAAUACGUGCCAGUAGCCGCGGUAAUACGUAUGGACCGAGCGUUGUCCGGAAUCAUUGGGCGUAAAGGGUACGUAGGCGGCCUAGUAAGUUAGAAGUGAAAUAAUAUAGCUCAACUAUAUAAAGCUUUUAAAACUGCUAAGCUUGAGAGAUGGAAGUGAAAGUGGAAUUCCUAGUGUAGCGGUGAAAUGCGCAGAUAUUAGGAAGAAUACCGGUGGCGAAGGCGACUUUCUGGUCAUCAUCUGACGCUGAGGUACGAAAGCGUGGGUAGCAAACAGG